CCUACGGGAGGCAGCAGUAGGGAAUUUUGCGCAAUGGGCGAAAGCCUGACGCAGCAACGCCGCGUGAUCGAGACGCCCUUCGGGGUGUAAAGAUCUGUCAGUGGGGACGAAACUUGACGGUACCCACAGAGGAAGCACCGGCUAACUCCGUGCCAGCAGCCGCGGUAAUACGGGGGGUGCAAGCGUUGUCCGGAAUCAUUGGGCGUAAAGGGAGCGUAGACGGAAAGGCAAGUCAGAAGUGAAAACCCAAGGCUCAACCAUGGGACUGCUUUUGAAACUGUCAAACUAGAGUACGGGAGAGGUAAGAGGAAUUCCUAGUGUAGCGGUGAAAUGCGUAGAUAUUAGGAGGAACACCAGUGGCGAAGGCGUCUUACUGGACCGAAACUGACGUUGAGGCUCGAAAGCGUGGGGAGCAAACAGGAUUAGAUACCCGUGUAGUC
rnacentral:rRNA from 1 species